AACUCAAUAACGCUCACCCAAAACCCAAAUAAAAAUCUGUAGGAAAAGUCCAGUAGCACCAAGUCCGUCCAAAUAUCACAUACUUAUUUGUCUCACCUGAAAAAGGGGAAGAGUGAGGGGGGUGAGCGAUAGGUGAAUCGCCCAAUGAGGUAUGGGGGAUGCUACCCCGAAGUCCAUGGACCCGGACAUAGCACUCCGAAUAAAUAUAAAUUAAUUCUAAUGCAUGUCAAACACGGUACCUAAAGUACCCAAGCAACAAACAAUGGUCCUAGCGAGGUGCACACUCGCCGCCCACUAACAGGCCAAAAACAUAACACAACUCGAGAUAGUGCUCGGACACCGCCCGUGGACGAUUUAUCGACACUUCCAGGCUACAGCUCAACCGGUCGACUAAAGUUGGCCAUAACCUCAUACAAUCCGGCAUACAGAAGUCCGUCUCUGUAUCCGUCUCCACACAAAAACAAUCCUAGCUAAGAUUUUACAUUUAAGUGAAACAAUCAAUGUUGAAUCCUCUAGCCCCCUAGUUCCGGUUUAUGCAAAGAACCUAAUAACUAAACAAGCAAUGACAGACUCGAUUUCAAGCAGACGGAACACAUUAGAAAUAAGUUAUAUUUAUUCGAGGUCCUAAGCCGUGUAAGAGGAGUUCGGGAAUAGACCCUCACCUUAGCAAUAGAAAAGUAGUGUUUAUGAACUCCAGCUGCUCAAAUAGACUCCAUAUCUGAAAUCAGAUCGAAAUUCUGAGUCAGACGCCUUUCGAACGGUUAAAAACGGGACUGGUCAAGGUUUGCGAAAAAGUCAACUCGCUGGUCAAAGGUCAAUCCGGUCAACCCUUGACCAGAAAUCGAUUUGACAUAACCGGCCG
rnacentral:lncRNA from 1 species